rnacentral:rRNA from 1 species
UGCGUAGGUGGCAGGGUAAGUUUGAUGUGAAAUCUCCGGGCUUAACCCGGAAAUGGCAUUGAAUACUAUCCUGCUCGAGGGUUGGAGGGGGGACUGGAAUUCUCGGUGUAGCAGUGAAAUGCGUAGAUAUCGAGAGGAACACCAGUGGCGAAGGCGAGUCCCUGGACAAUACCUGACACUGAGGCACGAAAGCUAGGGGAGCAAACA